AGUCACUGACAUUAGACUACCCGUAGUCCAGGGUGUAAACGCUGCAGACUUGGUGUUGGGAACCCGUUCGGGGGUGCUCAGUGCCGGAGAGAAGUUGUUAAGUCUGCUACUUGGGAGUACGUCCGCAAGGAUGAAACUUAAAGGAAUUGGCGGGGGAGCACCGCAACGGGAGGAGCGUGCGGUUUAAUUGGAUUCAACACCGUAAACUCACCAGGGAAGACUGUUACAUGAAGGCCGAGAUGAAGACUCUGCUAGAUUUUCAG
rnacentral:rRNA from 1 species